GUUUUAUAUAAAAAUCAGGAAACGUGUUAAGUGACCUGAAGAGAAAAGAGCAUUUGAAAGGGCCAAGGACUCUGGAGAGACUGUAAAAAUAGGAAUGGAUUUCCCUGAAUUUAGCUCCCU